UACGGAGGAUCCGAGCGUUAUCCGGAUUUAUUGGGUUUAAAGGGAGCGUAGGCGGGUUGUUAAGUCAGUAGUGAAAGUUCGCGGCUCAACCGUAAAAUUGCAGUUGAUACUGGCAUCCUUGAGUACAGUAGAGGUAGGCGGAAUUCGUGGUGUAGCGGUGAAAUGCUUAGAUAUCACGAAGAACUCCGAUUGCGAAGGCAGCCUGCUGGACUGUAACUGACGCUGAUGCUCGAAAGUGUGGGUAUCAAACAGG
rnacentral:rRNA from 1 species